UUUGAGCGAGAGCCGGACCCGGGCUCGUGACCGAACGCGAUACUAUGUCAGAACCCAAAUGCUGGGCGACACGCGCGCGAUCCAGCCGUGCACGCUGGGAGACGCACAUUCCGCGCUCUCUCUCUCACCCCGUGCAGCGACUAGGGGAGAUGAAAUCCUUUCUUCGGCGAGCGUGGCCGGCGUAGUCCGGCGACGACGGGCCAAGGGGACGGGGUGCGAGCCGGCAGUAGAUGGGCACCACAUCGGCAGGCGAAGGGCGCGCGCACGUGAGGACAGAUGGGGACAGGAGAAGCUGGUCAGCGGCCUGAGGAUGGCGUGCGUCAGCAAGGCGGACUGCUACGUCUCCGGGGGAAGGAGACAUACUUCCAGAAUGGCAACUUUGUCGGAAGUGAUGUAGACAAACUUCAACUGGGCGACAAAGAAGCUCAGCGGAUGUGAAUAAAGGCCAGGUGCAAGACGGUAAAAUAACACCAAACAAGAGCUCAGGAUCUCUCUAACAUCCAGGUUCAACAAGCAAAGGGGUGCGACAAUAAUAGGCUCACCAUUGUAAAAGAUCCAAAAUCAAGCUGCAAAAACGUGGGUGUAUAGUAGAGUUUUUGCACACUACAAAGGAAUCAUGCUUCUUCUUUUCUUUUUGCAAAAGAGAGUUGGACCUUUACCUGGUGAUUUGGUGGAAUUUUUUGCCUGAUUGCUGACAAAUUGUUCUAGACUAUUUCCACUAGA